GUGUUCGCUUCGGCAGCACAUAUACUAAAAUUGGAAUGAUAUAGAGAAGAUUAGCAUGGCCCUUGAACAAGGAUGACAUGUAAAUCCGUGAAGCGUUCCAUAUAAAA
rnacentral:snRNA from 1 species